rnacentral:rRNA from 1 species
GCUUAACACAUGCAAGUCGAGGGGCAGCAUGGUCUUAGCUUGCUAAGGCCGAUGGCGACCGGCGCACGGGUGAGUAACGCGUAUCCAACCUGCCUUACACUCUUGGACAGCCUUCUGAAAGGGAGAUUAAUACAAGAUGUUAUCAUGAGUAAGCAUUUUCGCAUGAUUAAAGGUUUACCGGUGUAAGAUGGGGAUGCGUUCCAUUAGAUAGUAGGCGGGGUAACGGCCCACCUAGUCUUCGAUGGAUAGGGGUUCUGAGAGGAAGGUCCCCCACAUUGGAACUGAGACACGGUCCAAACUCCUACGGGAGGCAGCAGUGAGGAAUAUUGGUCAAUGGACGAGAGUCUGAACCAGCCAAGUAGCGUGAAGGAUGAAGGUUCUAUGGAUUGUAAACUUCUUUUAUACGGGAAUAAACGAAUCCACGUGUGGAUUUUUGCAUGUACCGUAUGAAUAAGGAUCGGCUAACUCCGUGCCAGCAGCCGCGGUAAUACGGAGGAUCCGAGCGUUAUCCGGAUUUAUUGGGUUUAAAGGGAGCGUAGAUGGGUUGUUAAGUCAGUUGUGAAAGUUUGCGGCUCAACCGUAAAAUUGCAAUUGAUACUGGCAGUCUUGAGUACAGUUGAGGUAGGCGGAAUUCGUGGUGUAGCGGUGAAAUGCUUAGAUAUCACGAAGAACUCCGAUUGCGAAGGCAGCUUACUAACCUGUAACUGACAUUGAUGCUCGAAAGUGUGGGUAUCAAACAGGAUUAGAUACCCUGGUAGUCCACACGGUAAACGAUGAAUACUCGCUGUAGGCGAUAUACAGUCUGCGGCCAAGCGAAAGCAUUAAGUAUUCCACCUGGGGAGUACGCCGGCAACGGUGAAACUCAAAGGAAUUGACGGGGGCCCGCACAAGCGGAGGAACAUGUGGUUUAAUUCGAUGAUACGCGAGGAACCUUACCCGGGCUUAAAUUGCAACCGAAUAUGGCGGAAACGCUAUAGCUAGCAAUAGCGGUUGUGAAGGUGCUGCAUGGUUGUCGUCAGCUCGUGCCGUGAGGUGUCGGCUUAAGUGCCAUAACGAGCGCAACCCUUGCCGAUAGUUACUAACAGGUCAUGCUGAGGACUCUGUCGGGACUGCCAUCGUAAGAUGUGAGGAAGGUGGGGAUGACGUCAAAUCAGCACGGCCCUUACGUCCGGGGCUACACACGUGUUACAAUGGGGGGUACAGAGGGCUGCUACCACGCAAGUGGAUGCCAAUCCCAAAAACCUCUCUCAGUUCGGAUUGAAGUCUGCAACCCGACUUCAUGAAGCUGGAUUCGCUAGUAAUCGCGCAUCAGCCACGGCGCGGUGAAUACGUUCCCGGGCCUUGUACACACCGCCCGUCAAGCCAUGGGAGCCGGGGGUACCUGAAGUGCGUAACCGCAAGGAGCGCCCUAGGGUAAAACUGGUGACUGGGGCUAAG